UAACCUGAGGAAACUCAGGCUAAUACCGCAUACGUCCUACGGGAGAAAGCAGGGGCUCUUCGGACCUUGCGCUAUCGGAUGAGCUUAUGUCGGAUUAGCUGGUUGGUGAGGUAAUAGCUCACCAAGGCGACGAUCCGUAGCUGGUCUGAGAGGAUGAUCAGCCACAUCGGGACUGAGACACGGCCCGAACUCCUACGGGAGGCAGCAGUGGGGAAUAUUGGACAAUGGGGGCAACCCUGAUCCAGCCAUGCCGCGUGUGUGAAGAAGGCCCUCGGGUUGUAAAGCACUUUCAGUGAGGAAGAAUGCUUGUCGGUUAAUACCCGGCAAGGGAGACAUCACUCACAGAAGAAGCACCGGCUAACUCCGUGCCAGCAGCCGCGGUAAUACGGAGGGUGCGAGCGUUAAUCGGAAUUACUGGGCGUAAAGCGCGCGUAGGCGGCUUGAUAAGCCGGUUGUGAAAGCCCCGGGCUCAACCUGGGAAUGGCAUCCGGAACUGUCAGGCUAGAGUGCAGGAGAGGAAGGUAGAAUUCCCGGUGUAGCGGUGAAAUGCGUAGAGAUCGGGAGGAAUACCAGUGGCGAAGGCGGCCUUCUGGACUGACACUGACGCUGAGGUGCGAAAGCGUGGGUAGCAAACAGGAUUAGAUACCCUGGUAGUCCACGCCGUAAACGAUGUCGACUAGCCGUUGGGGUCCUUGAGACCUUUGUGGCGCAGUUAACGCACUAAGUCGACCGCCUGGGGAGUACGGCCGCAAGGUUAAAACUCAAAUGAAUUGACGGGGGCCCGCACAAGCGGUGGAGCAUGUGG
rnacentral:rRNA from 1 species